CUGUAACAAGAUUGGGCUUCGUCCACAACUAUCGCUUUUAAAUUGUCUGUAUAUUUCGUCGAUUAUAAUAAAAAUUCAAAAACUUUCAUGUUCUCCAAUUGAUUGCUGUCCGUAUACAAUGACUCUCCCAAACUACACAUUGUAUCCUUCGAUUCAUCAACUUGAACAGCUUUCAUAAUUGAAACAUUUACAUGAUCCUUUAGUUUACUGAUUUGGUCAAUCAUUAAAACAUUUAAUGGUGAAAUCCAGAUCAAAUUAAUGUUUAUCUUGCAUGUAAAACAUUAUUUCUUUCGAGAAAUUCUCAAAGUUCACUCCUUG